ensembl:snoRNA SNORD34 Small nucleolar RNA SNORD34
AGCGUCCAUGAUGUUCCUCAAUUACCUACAUUGUUUGAGCCUCAUGAAAGCACCCCUGGCUGAGACGCA